GACGAACGCUGGCGGCGUGCCCAACACAUGCAAGUCGAACGGGACCGGGGGCAACUCCGGUUCAGUGGCGAACGGGUGCGUAACACGUGAGGAACUUGUCUUUCGGCGGGGGAGUAGCCGGCCCAACGGCCGGGUAAUACCGCGUACGCUCUUCGGGGGGCGAUCUCCUGGAGAGGAAAGCAGCAAUGCACCGAAAGAGAGUCUCGCGGCCUAUCAGCUAGUUGGUGAGGUCAUGGCUCACCAAGGCGACGACGGGUAGCUGGUCUGAGAGGAUGGCCAGCCACAUUGGGACUGAGACACGGCCCAGACUCCUACGGGAGGCAGCAGUGGGGAAUCUUGCGCAAUAGGCGAAAGCCUGACGCAGCGACGCCGCGUGUGGGAUGACGGCCU
rnacentral:rRNA from 1 species